rnacentral:rRNA from 1 species
CUACGGGACGCAGCAGUCGAGAAUCUUCCGCAAUGCAGGAAACUGUGACGGAGCGACGCCGCGUGAUGGAUGAAGUAUUUAGGUAUGUAAACAUCUUUUAUAGGGGAGGAAAUUUUUGACGUUACCCUAUGAAUAAGGGGCUCCUAAUCUCGUGCCAGCAGGAGCGGUAAUACGAGAGCCCCAAGCGUUAUCCGGAAUCAUUGGGCGUAAAGGGUGCGUGGGUGGUUGUAUUAGUCAGAAUUUAAAGACCAGUGCUUAACAUUGGGAAGGGUUCUGAAACGGUACAACUAGAGGACGACAGAGGCAUAUGGAACUCAUGGUGUAGGGGUGAAAUCCGUUGAUAUCAUGGGGAACACCAAAGGCGAAGGCAAUAUGCUGGGUCGCGCCUGACACUGAGGCACGAAACCCUGGGUAGCGAAUGGGAUUAGAUACCCUAGUAGUC